UCGAGCGAGUCUGCCUUGAAGAUCGGAGUGCUUGCACUCUGUGAAACAAGAUACAGGCUAGCGGCGGACGGGUGAGUAACACGUGGGUAACCUGCCCAAGAGAUCGGGAUAACACCUGGAAACAGAUGCUAAUACCGGAUAACAACAGAUGAUGCCUAUCAACUGUUUAAAAGAUGGUUCUGCUAUCACUCUUGGAUGGACCUGCGGUGCAUUAGCUAGUUGGUAGGGUAACGGCCUACCAAGGCGAUGAUGCAUAGCCGAGUUGAGAGACUGAUCGGCCACAUUGGGACUGAGACACGGCCCAAACUCCUACGGGAGGCAGCAGUAGGGAAUCUUCCACAAUGGACGCAAGUCUGAUGGAGCAACGCCGCGUGAGUGAAGAAGGGUUUCGGCUCGUAAAGCUCUGUUGUUGGUGAAGAAGGACAGGGGUAGUAACUGACCUUUGUUUGACGGUAAUCAAUUAGAAAGUCACGGCUAACUACGUGCCAGCAGCCGCGGUAAUACGUAGGUGGCAAGCGUUGUCCGGAUUUAUUGGGCGUAAAGCGAGUGCAGGCGGUUCGAUAAGUCUGAUGUGAAAGCCUUCGGCUCAACCGGAGAAUUGCAUCAGAAACUGUCGAGCUUGAGUACAGAAGAGGAGAGUGGAACUCCAUGUGUAGCGGUGAAAUGCGUAGAUAUAUGGAAGAACACCGGUGGCGAAGGCGGCUCUCUGGUCUGUUACUGACGCUGAGGCUCGAAAGCAUGGGUAGCGAACAGGAUUAGAUACCCUGGUAGUCCAUGCCGUAAACGAUGAGUGCUAAGUGUUGGGAGGUUUCCGCCUCUCAGUGCUGCAGCUAACG
rnacentral:rRNA from 1 species